rnacentral:rRNA from 1 species
UACAGAGGGGGCAAGCGUUGUUCGGAAUUACUGGGCGUAAGGCGCGUAGGCGCCAACUAAGUCAGACGUGAAAUCCCCUGGCUCAACCAGGGAACUGCGUCUGAUACUGGUAGGCUUGAGUUCGGGAGAGGGAAGUGGAAUUCCAGGUGUAGCGGUGAAAUGCGUAGAUAUCUGGAGGAACACCGGUGGCGAAGGCGGCUUCCUGGACCGACACUGACGCUGAGGCGCGAAAGCCAGGGAGCAAACGGG